AUUGAACGCUGGCGGCAGGCCUAACACAUGCAAGUCGAGCGGUAACACAGAGAGCUUGCUCUCGGGUGACGAGCGGCGGACGGGUGAGUAAUGUCUGGGAAACUGCCUGAUGGAGGGGGAUAACUACUGGAAACGGUAGCUAAUACCGCAUAACGUCGCAAGACCAAAGAGGGGGACCUUCGGGCCUCUUGCCAUCAGAUGUGCCCAGAUGGGAUUAGCUAGUAGGUGGGGUAACGGCUCACCUAGGCGACGAUCCCUAGCUGGUCUGAGAGGAUGACCAGCCACACUGGAACUGAGACACGGUCCAGACUCCUACGGGAGGCAGCAGUGGGGAAUAUUGCACAAUGGGCGCAAGCCUGAUGCAGCCAUGCCGCGUGUAUGAAGAAGGCCUUCGGGUUGUAAAGUACUUUCAGCGAGGAGGAAGGUGUUGAGG
rnacentral:rRNA from 1 species